UGUCCAGGGAUGGGAAUCGAACCCACAGUGUUCCGCUUACCGGGCAGAUGCCAUGUCCACUAGGCUACCCUGUAC
rnacentral:tRNA from 1 species